UACGUAGGGUGCAAGCGUUGUCCGGAAUUAUUGGGCGUAAAGAGCUCGUAGGCGGCAUUGCAAGUCGGAUGUGAAAUCUUAUGGCUUAACCAUAAAAGUGCAUCCGAAACUGCAGUGCUUGAGUACUUAAGAGGAUCGCGGAAUUCCCGGUGUAGAGGUGAAAUUCGUAGAUAUCGGGAGGAACACCAGUGGCGAAGGCGGCGAUCUGGGAAGAUACUGACGCUGAGGUGCGAAAGCGUGGGGAGCAAACAGG
rnacentral:rRNA from 1 species